rnacentral:misc_RNA from 1 species
GACGAACCGGACAAACGUUAAUCGGAAUAACUGGGCGUAAAGCGCGCGUAGGUGGUUGAGUCAGUCAGAUGUGAAAGCCCCGGGCUUAACCUGGGAACUGCACCUGAUACUGCUUGACUAGAGUACGGUAGAGAGCAGUGGAAUUUCCUGUGUAGCGGUGAAAUGCGUAGAUAUAGGAAGGAACACCAGUGGCGAAGGCGACUGCCUGGACUGAUACUGACACUGAGGUGCGAAAGCGUGGGUAGCAAACAGG